GACUGCUCUGCCUACAAAUGUCCGUAUUUGCCUGCCAACUUGGAUGCAGAUGUGAAAUCCUCCCCCAGUCAUUUGGACUCUCAUUUUUAAUUGACUUUCCUACGCUGUCCAGUCCUCCAGCAGCGCAGGGAACGCUGCGCCCCCCACCCUGCUGCAAGCAGAGAAAAAACAGAGAUGCUACAGAUCCUGUUAUCCUGCCCUUCUGCUGAGCUGCUGCCAGGGCAGCUGGAAGACAUGGGAUUUCUGCUAUCCUGCUCCUGGCAGCUGCAGAAGAGCUUGAGGGAUGAACCCCACGCGGGUGGCAAUGUUCGGUGACAAAGGCACCGCAUCCCACGGGUAAGGACAAGGUGCCCCAAGCUGCAGCCAGGUCUGUGCCACCCUCCUGCCCCUGCCAGCCCUGGCUACGGGGCAAACUCAGCCUACAAGGCUCUGGUUUCCCACCUGGGGAGCGAGCAGGACUCAGGUCAAGUCCCCGGUGCCUGCUCUCUUCAGCCCAGAUCCCAGCUGCAGACCCUGAUUACUGGGCAUGACCCUGCAGUUCGAAACAUGGGAAACCACGAGCUCACCUACCAAAGAGCUGUGCAGAAGGGUCCUUCCUUCUUUCAACAUCUGAAGAAUAUUUUUGUGAAGCUCUGGGUUGGGGACCCUGCCCGGAGGUGGGUCCGGGGACCCACAGCCCCGUGGGCUCCCCAAACCCCCCGGGAUGCAGCAGAGCAGCACCAGGACAUGGGUGUGGAAAUCCCAAGAGCAGAGGCGGUGUCGGUGGGUGACUCAAAUCUGAAACAGGCCCAGAUGUGAGGGAAGGCUCCAAAAACAUAGAAACAUAACCAGGCUACCGGCGCUCCACAGAAGCUUUAAAACCCACGGCUGGGGACAGAUGACAGGCGGGGAAGAUCCUGCAGGUGAAGGGGAUCUGUUGGUCGGGGAUAAGUCCCACAGACUGUCAGAGCAGGGCCGGGCUGAACGUCGGUACGCGGAGUAGGAAACCGUGAGUAAUGCGGCUCACAGCUCCAGCCUCUGAUCUGGAAACACAGCAGCAGGGAAGAGCAAAUGAGCGCGUCCUGCAGCAGAAGAGCUGUGACUCAUUUACUCCAAAGGUUACUACGGAACUGUUUACACAUUUCUUUGUGAUU